rnacentral:tRNA from 1 species
AGUCUUAUAUUCAAUAAAUGAUUUUAAAUUGCAAAUUUAAAGGUGAAUACUAUUUCUAAGGCUU